CCUUUGUACACACCGCCCGUCGCUACUACCGAUUGAAUGGCUUAGUGAGGCUUUCGGACUGACUUUCGAUGUUGGGAAACCGACUGUCAGAAGUUGGAAAGUUAGUCAAACUUGGUCAUUUAGAGG
rnacentral:rRNA from 1 species